rnacentral:rRNA from 1 species
UAAGGAAUAUUGGUCAAUGGGCGCGAGCCUGAACCAGCCAUGCCGCGUGCAGGAAGAAGGCCUUAUGGGUCGUAAACUGCUUUUCUAGGGGAAAAAAUUGUGGUACGUGUACCACAUUGCUUGUACCUUAUGAAUAAGCAUCGGCUAACUCCGUGCCAGCAGCCGCGGUAAUACGGAGGAUGCGAGCGUUAUCCGGAUUCAUUGGGUUUAAAGGGUGCGCAGGCGGACUAAUAAGUCAGUGGUGAAAUCCCAUAGCUCAACUAUGGAACUGCCAUUGAUACUGUUAGACUAGAGUGUAGAUGACGUAGGCGGAAUGCGACAUGUAGCGGUGAAAUGCUUAGAUAUGUCGCAGAACACCGAUUGCGAAGGCAGCUUACGAAACUACAACUGACGCUCAUGCACGAAAGCGUGGGGAUCAAACAGG